rnacentral:lncRNA from 1 species
CUCCGAUUAGGACGCAAAAUACCUUUUCGGAAAGGGAACGAAGCCACGAGUGUAACUCACUGCUUUGCUGUGACAUAAGGUGGAUUUUGGCAUUCUGAGGUCGUUUGGCCUUCCAAAACUGCAGUUAAAGUUUGGUAGUUAAUUUUCCAAUAAAUUCUGUUUUGGACAGUUUAGGAGUUACGUUAUUAAGACUCCAAAUUAAUCCUGUUUUUUUUUCAGUUUUAUGUAAUAACUCCCCUAGUAGUUGAAGGGUUGAGGGUUGUUGAGAAAUGUGUAUUUAGACAGGUUUGUCUAAUGUAUCUGGAACUCAACUUUUAAUCAUAUUAUUCCAAGAGAGCUUCUCUUAAUUUUCUGGUGGAAUCCAGUUUUAUUGUUACUCACGGUUUCGCUUGAAACCUUUGUUGCUUGUGCUGCGUCAAGUGGUAUCAGAGCGGGUCUCUCCCGUCUCGGUAUUCUUGUCUUUAUCUUAUUAUGGGUGAUCGAGAAGCUGAUGUCCCAACCCCAAUUACCCGAGCAGAUCUGGACGCUCAAAACCGACGGAUCGACAACCUAACCAACCAAUUUGGGGAGAUGCGAGAAUUGUUGUUGCAAGCUCUUGGUGGCAACAAUAGGAGAGAAGGCAGAGAUAACGAAAGAAGAGAUGGCGAGAGAAGAGACAAUAGGAGGCAACUUAAUCCGGAUAGUGAGUCCGAGUCAGAAGAAGAACUUGAAGAACCACCACCGCCGGCUAAUAAUCCUCGUCAUCAUAAUCGUAAUUACGAGAAUUUUGGCGAUUAUCGGAUUAAAGCAGAAAUUCCUAACUUUUGGGGAAAUCUGAAGAUUGAAGACUUCUUGGAUUGGCUUGUAGAAGUGGAGAGGUUUUUCGAUAUUAUGGAGGUUCCUGAGCAUAAGAUGGUGAAGAUGGUAGCUUUCCGCCUUAAAGCUACAGCGGCUGUUUGGUGGGAUCAAUUGCAAAAUUUACGGCGGAGGCAAGGAAAACAGAGGGUUCGAACAUGGCGGAAGAUGAAGUCGCUUAUGAUGGAACGAUUCUUGCCCACAGAUUAUGAGCAGAUUCUCUACCGUAUGUACCUAGGCUGUGCGCAAGGCACCCGUUCGGUUUCUGAGUAUACCGAAGAGUUCAUGCGUUUGGCAGAGCGAAACCAUUUGACCGAAACUGACAAUCAAAAGGUCGCAAGGUACAACAAUGGGCUGAAAAUUUCCAUCCAGGAAAAAAUUGGCAUGCAGAAUAUAUGGACUUUGCAGGAGGCGAUUAACAUGGCAUUGAAGGCUGAACUGUUGGAGAAGGAGAAACGCCAACCCAACUUCCGCAGGAAUGCGACGGAAGCCUCUGAUUAUACUGCUGGUGCUUCUAGUGGCGCAGGAGAUAAGGGGAAAGCACAGCAGCAGAGUUCUGGAGGGAUGACAAAACCAACAACAGUUGGCCAAAACAAAAACUUCAACGAGGGCAGCAGCCGGAAUUACAACAGAGGGCAGCUCCGAAACCAGUCCCAGAAUCUGUAUGCUAAGCCCAUGACGGACAUAUGUUACCGUUGCCAAAAACCAGGGCAUCGUUCUAAUGUUUGUCCAGAGCGGAAGCAGGCUAACUUUAUCGAAGAAGCCGAUGAAGAUGAAGAAAACGAUGAAGUCGGGGAAAAUGAUUAUGCAGGGGCUGAAUUUGCAGUUGAAGAAGGAAUGGAGAAGAUUACCCUAGUUUUGCAGAGAGUUCUUUUGGCACCAAAGGAGGAGGGGCAGCGUCAUAAUAUUUUUCGUUCCCUCUGCUCAAUCAAAAACAAGGUUUGUGAUGUGAUCGUCGACAAUGGAAGUUGCGAGAAUUUCGUGUCAAAGAAAUUGGUGGAAUAUUUGCAGCUAUCAACGGAACCACAUGUCAGCCCUUACUCACUAGGUUGGGUUAAAAAAGGCCCUUCGGUUCGUGUAGCUGAGACUUGCCGUGUGCCGCUGUCUAUUGGUAAGCAUUACAGAGAUGAUGUCUUAUGUGAUGUUAUUGACAUGGAUGCAUGCCAUAUUUUAUUAGGGCGUCCUUGGCAAUUUGAUGUGGAUGCGACUUUCAAGGGACGAGAUAAUGUCAUUCUGUUCUCUUGGAACAACCGGAAAAUUGCAAUGGCAACUACACAGCCCUCAAAACCCUCUGUUGAGGCCAAGACGAGGAAUUCUAGCUUCCUAACCCUAAUUAGCAACGAGCAGGAGUUGAACGAGGCAGUCAAGGAAGCUGAGUGUUUUUGUCCCUUGGUGUUGAAGGGGUUGUUGAAACUUGGCCGAGGAGGAGGUGACAUUCCACAAGAUGUGCAGCAGAUUUUGUCUCAAUUUCAGGAAUUAUUUUCUGAAAAUCUGCCAAACGAGUUGCCACCUAUGCGGGACAUACAACACCGAAUUGACUUGGUGCCUGGAGCUAGCCUUCCGAAUCUGCCCCAUUAUCGGAUGAGCCCCAAGGAGAAUGACAUCCUCAGAGAGCAGAUUGAAGAAUUACUGCGGAAGGGAUUUAUCAGGGAGAGUUUGAGUCCCUGCGCAGUUCCUGUUUUGUUGGUUCCGAAGAAAGACGAGACUUGGCGAAUGUGUGUUGACAGCUGAGCAAUCAACAAGAUAACAGUGAAGUACAGGUUUCCCAUUCCACGAUUGGAGGAUAUGCUGGAUGUUCUUAGCGGCUCAAAGGUGUUUUCCAAGAUAGAUUUGCGAAGCGGUUAUCACCAGAUUCACAUCAGACCUGGCGACGAAUGGAAAACAGCGUUCAAGAGCAAGGACGGAUUAUUUGAAUGGUUGGUGAUGUCAUUCGGAUUGUCAAAUGCGCCUAGCACCUUCAUGAGACUCAUGAAUCAGGUUCUUCGACCAUUUAUUGGCUCUUUUGUCGUGGUUUAUUUCGAUGACAUUUUAAUUUACAGCACCACAAAAGAAGAGCAUCUUGUGCAUUUGAGGCAAGUUUUAGACGUUUUGAGAGAAAAUAAACUGUUUGUGAACCUUAAAAAAUGUACUUUCUGCACAAAUAAGCUACUGUUCUUGGGUUUUGUUGUUGGUGAGAAUGGUAUCCAGGUUGACGACGAGAAGAUCAAGGCAAUCCUUGACUGGCCAGCUCCAAAAACAGUUUCUGAAGUUCGGAGUUUCCGUGGCUUGGCCACCUUUUACAGGAUAUUUGUGAGGCAUUUCAGCUCUAUCGCUGCACCUAUCACAGAGUGUUUAAAGAAGGGCCAGUUCAGUUGGGGAGAGGAGCAAGAGAGGAGCUUUGCAGAAAUAAAAGAAAAGCUUUGCACCGCGCCAGUUUUAGUCCUUCCAAACUUUGAGAAAGUUUUCGAAGUUGAAUGUGAUGCCAGCGGUGUGGGAGUCGGAGCUGUGCUUUCACAAGACAAGUGGCCAGUUGCAUUCUUCUCUGAAAAAUUGAGCGAUGCACGUCAAAAGUGGAGUACUUAUGACCAAGAGUUCUAUGCGGUUGUUCGGGCUUUGAAGCAAUGGGAGCACUAUCUUAUCCAGAAGGAAUUUGUUUUAUUUGCAGAUCAUCAAGCGUUGAAGUAUAUUAACAGCCAGAAAAAUAUUGAUAAAAUGCAUGCUAGAUGGGUGACUUUCUUGCAGAAAUUCUCGUUCGUUAUCAAGCAUACUUCCGGCAAGACAAAUCGUGUGGCGGAUGCGCUAAGUAGAAGAGCUUCAUUGUUAAUUACGCUGACUCAAGAAGUUGUGGGGUUUGAAUGUCUGAAGGAAUUGUAUGAAGAUGAUGCUGAUUUCCGGGAAAUUUGGACUAAGUGCACCAAUCAAGAGCCGAUGGCAGAUUACUUUCUUAAUGAAGGAUACUUGUUCAAAGGCAACCAGCUGUGUAUUCCAAUUUCCUCUUUGAGGGAGAAGCUCAUUCGGGACUUGCAUGGUGGAGGGUUGAGUGGCCACCUGGGUCGUGAUAAAACAAUUGCAGGGAUGGAAGAGAGAUUUUACUGGCCACAGCUCAAACGAGAUGUUGGAACUAUUGUGCGCAAGUGCUACACUUGUCAAACUUCGAAGGGGCAGGUACAAAACACCGGAUUAUAUAUGCCAUUACCAGUUCCUAACGAUAUUUGGCAGGAUCUUGCUAUGGAUUUUGUCCUCGGCUUGCCCCGAACACAAAGGGGAGUGGAUUCUGUAUUUGUGGUGGUUGAUCGGUUCUCAAAAAUGGCGCAUUUCAUAGCUUGCAAGAAGACUGCUGAUGCAUCAAAUAUAGCCAAACUGUUUUUCAGGGAGGUUGUUCGCUUGCAUGGGGUCCCUACAUCCAUUACAUCCGAUCGUGACACCAAGUUCUUGAGCCAUUUUUGGAUCACCUUGUGGAGGCUGUUUGGGACUACUUUGAAUCGUAGCAGCACUGCCCAUCCCCAAACCGAUGGCCAGACUGAGGUUACAAACCGAACAUUGGGCAAUAUGGUACGCAGCGUCUGUGGAGAGAAGCCAAAACAAUGGGAUUAUGCAUUACCGCAGGUGGAGUUUGCGUAUAACAGUGCAGUCCAUAGUGCCACCGGGAAGUCUCCAUUUUCCAUUGUUUAUACUGCUAUGCCUAACCAUGUUGUAGAUUUGGUGAAACUGCCUAGAGGCCAACAAACCAGUGUGGCAGCAAAAAAUUUGGCGGAGGAAGUAGUGGCUGUUCGAGAUGAAGUCAAGCAGAAACUUGAGCAAACUAAUGCUAAGUACAAAGCUGCUGCGGAUAAGCAUAGGCGAGUUAAAGUGUUUCAGGAAGGUGAUUCUGUGAUGAUAUUUCUGAGGAAGGAGAGGUUUCCAGUUGGCACAUAUAGCAAGCUUAAACCAAAAAAAUAUGGUCCUUACAAAGUGCUCAAACGGAUCAAUGAUAAUGCCUAUGUUAUUGAGUUACCGGAUUCCAUGGGAAUAUCCAAUAUUUUUAAUGUUGCAGAUUUAUAUGAGUUCCGUGAAGAUGAGGUCCUUUAUCCAAAUCAUAACUCGGGGUCGAGUUCCUCGGAGGUGGAGGGGACUGAUGUAGAACAGAUGGCAGAUUUUAUCGCGGUUGAGCUAGAAAAAGGACGUAGCGGGAAUAUGCAGUUUUGUCGUCCAAGCUCCGAUUAGGACGCAAAAUACCUUUUCGGAAAGGGAACGAAGCCACGAGUGUAACUCACAGCUUUGCUGUGACAUAAGGUGGAUUUUGGCAUUCUGAGGUCGUUUGGCCUUCCAAAACUGCAGUUAAAGUUUGGUAGUUAAUUUUCCAAUAAAUUCUGUUUUGGACAGUUUAGGAGUUACGUUAUUAAGACUCCAAAUUAAUCCUGUUUUUUUCAGUUUUAUGUAAUAACUCCCCUAGUAGUUGAAGGGUUGAGGGUUGUUGAGAAAUGUGUAUUUAGACAGGUUUGUCUAAUGUAUCUGGAACUCAACUUUUAAUCAUAUUAUUCCAAGAGAGCUUCUCUUAAUUUUCUG